UCUCCGUUGGUGAACCAGCGGAGGGAUCAUUACAGAGUGUAACAGCUCCCAAACCAUCGCGAACCCACCGUACCGUACGUUGCUUCGGCGGGCGGCCCCCCCUGGGGGCCCCCCUUUCGGGCCCGCGAGGGCGCCCGCCGGAGUGCCGAAUAACCACGAGCUUCGAAGAUAACCCUCUGAGUCAGCCACAAACAAGUUAAAACUUUCAGCAACGGAUCUCUUGGUUCUGGCAUCGAUGAAGAACGCAGC
rnacentral:misc_RNA from 1 species